UACAGAGGCCCCAAGCGUUACUGAGAAUCACUGGGUUUAAAGGGUGCGUAGGUGGCGCGUUAAGUCCGUUGUGAAAUCCCUUGGCUCAACCAAGGAAAUGCUUCGGAUACUGGCGUGCUUGAGGCUAGUAGGGGUCACUGGAACUGACGGUGGAGCGGUGAAAUGCGUAGAUAUCGUCAGGAACGCCAAUGGUGAAGACAGGUGACUGGGCUAGUUCUGACACUGAGGCACGAAAGCGUGGGGAGCGAACGGG
rnacentral:rRNA from 1 species